rnacentral:misc_RNA from 1 species
GAAAAAUGGCAAUUUCAGGAGAUUUUAGGGUCUCCGCUACAUUGGUUCCAUACCCAAAGAAUCCACUUCGGACCUCUUUACCUCCUUCAAAGGUAGAUUUUAGUGCCUUUCUUAAUGGUGGAUCUAGUUCCUCUGAGGUGUUGCCCAAAUGGUCUCGUCUAUCAUCUGAUAGCCAUAGCUUCCGAUGCCACUCAAGAAAGCCUCUUGGGAUUCUUGGAGACUAUAAAGUAGCAGCAAGUUCCAUCAGCCAGGAAUUUGAUAAUUUACUCCUCAAUGCUAUCAGCAUGAGCUUUUUUGAGCGCCUAAGCUUGGCUUGGAAGAUAAUGUUUCCACCAUCCCCUUCGGCA